rnacentral:rRNA from 1 species
AUUGAACGCUGGCGGCAUGCCUUACACAUGCAAGUCGAACGGCAGCACGGGUGCUUGCACCUGGUGGCGAGUGGCGAACGGGUGAGUAAUACAUCGGAACGUACCUUAUCGUGGGGGAUAACGCAGCGAAAGCUGUGCUAAUACCGCAUACGCCCUGAGGGGGAAAGCAGGGGAUCGCAAGACCUCGCGCGAUUAGAGCGGCCGAUGCCUGAUUAGCUAGUUGGAGGGGUAAAAGCCCACCAAGGCGACGAUCAGUAGCUGGUCUGAGAGGACGAUCAGCCACACUGGGACUGAGACACGGCCCAGACUCCUACGGGAGGCAGCAGUGGGGAAUUUUGGACAAUGGGGGCAACCCUGAUCCAGCAAUGCCGCGUGAGUGAAGAAGGCCUUCGGGUUGUAAAGCUCUUUUGUCAGGGAAGAAACACCGGCUCUAACACAGUCCGGGAAUGACGGUACCUGAAGAAUAAGCACCGGCUAACUACGUGCCAGCCGCCGCAGUAA